CUGAGGGACUCCAUGUGGGGUUUUGAGAUUUUACAGAAGCCACUACGCCAGAGACAUGGGGGCAGGACAUUGAAGUUCCUGAAAUCACAUUGAAGAGUGGUGACUUCGUUGCUUGUGGAGUUGAGCUUGAAUCAUUGCCAAGCCAGGCUGCAAGAAUGUUCACUCCUGGUGCUGAUAUGUCCGGCUGCACAAAAAAAUUUCUUCAUGAAGGUUGAAAUUUUCAAGUUAAUAUAAAAUAAUCUUUCCCCUCGUCCUUCCAGGUAGAAGCUGCCUUUUACCUUGAUUAUGUUUAAUACUGCGGGAUUAGGCCCUCUGGAUGAAAAAUAUGUUAUAGCAGGUGCUGGCUUAUAGUUUAUUAUGGUCUCAGUGGGGAGAACUGUAGCAACUGGUUUCCUUCAGAAAAUUUCAAACUCAAUUAGCCAUUGGAGAUCAUGAAGUUCAAGCUAGUAAAGAAGAUAUGGAAUUGAAGCUCACUUCACAUCCCAGCUUUCAAUCUAGAUUGAUUAAACAGAGGAUAAUUUUAACUUUUACCUGCUUGAGUUAACAUAGGAGAGGAUCUCAAGACCAUCCUUUUUACUAAUAACUGUCAUGGGAGUAGAAAACUUCUCUGCAACUAAUUUUGAGUCGUCAUCAAUCAAAACUAGCCCAACCCCUCCAAGAUUCUUCACUGUUUCAGCCUGACUUUGCCAAUCCGAACCGCCUCCUUCGACACUGUUUUCGCAAAUAACUAUCUUUCCCUUCACUUGAGCUUCAUCCAUGGAAUCUUCGGAACAAAUCCUAAUUAAAUUGAGAUAUAACUGUUAGUAUAAAUACUUUAAAUCUAUAUAAUAGGUUAAUCCAAGAUCAUGUCAAAUUGUGAAGGUUAAUCCGAGAUCAUUCAUGUCAAAUUGUCAAAGAACUAGUUAUCCAUCCCAUGUAAUUGAUGAUGGCUAUAAAAUGACUAUUCUUUUUCCGAUAAAACUCAGAAGGCCAUAAAUUAUUGAUAAUUCACAUACAUAUUUAUUAAAUACCUCUAACAAUAACAACCGGAGAACUCAUCAGAAAGCUUUGUAAGAAAUCUUAAUAAAUUACUCAGCAUGCCAUUUCUUAUAUACCUUGCACUGUCUUCACUGUCACUCGCUUUCUUGGCUGACUUGCCUUCUAUUAGUGGGUAUACAGGAGACUUUUGAAGAUCAGAAAAGUUUAUACCUUCGCCCUGCAUUAUAAUUUUUUUAUUUGAAAUAAUUUAAUGUGGUUUUAGCUGUUUUCAUUGCAG
rnacentral:lncRNA from 1 species